UACCCGCAGCCCAAGUGGUGGUCAUUAUUAUUGGGCCUAAAGCGUCCGUAGCUGGCGUGUUAGAUGCCUGGGUAAAUCGAUGCGCUCAACGCAUCGAAUUCCGGGUAGACCGGCACGCUCGAGACCGGGAGGGGCGUAGGGUACUCGGGGGGUAGGGGUAAAAUCCUGUAAUCCGCCGGGGACGACCAGUGGCGAAGGCGCUACGCUAGAACGGCUCUGACAGUGAGGGACGAAGCCCUGGGGCGCAAACCGG
rnacentral:rRNA from 1 species